rnacentral:rRNA from 1 species
GACAGAGGGGGCAAGCGUUGCUCGGAAUCACUGGGCGUAAAGGGCGCGUAGGCGGGAUGGCAAGUCAGUCGUGAAAUCUCUCGGCUCAACCGAGAAACGUCGGCUGAUACUGCCGUUCUUGAGGGAUGCAGAGGAGACUGGAAUUCCCGGUGUAGCGGUGAAAUGUGUAGAGAUCGGGAGGAACACCAGUGGCGAAGGCGACUUCCUGGCCUGUUCUUGACGCUGAGGCGCGAAAGCUAGGGGAGCAAACGGG